UACGUAGGUGGCAAGCGUUGUCCGGAUUUACUGGGUGUAAAGGGCGUGUAGGCGGGAGAGCAAGUCAGAAGUGAAAUCUAUGGGCUUAACCCAUAAACUGCUUUUGAAACUGUUCUUCUUGAGUAUCGGAGAGGCAGGCGGAAUUCCUAGUGUAGCGGUGAAAUGCGUAGAUAUUAGGAGGAACACCAGUGGCGAAGGCGGCCUGCUGGACGACAACUGACGCUGAGGCGCGAAAGCGUGGGGAGCAAACAGG
rnacentral:rRNA from 1 species